rnacentral:rRNA from 1 species
UAUGUGAUCGUCUCUCGCAUAUCAAUAAGCGGAGGAAAAGAAACUAACAAGGAUUCCCCUAGUAACGGCGAGUGAAGCGGGAAGAGCUCAAAUUUGAAAUCUUAAAGGGUUUCCCUUUACGAAUUGUAGUUUAAAGAAGUGUUUUCUGUUGAGGUUUUGGUAAAAGUUCUUUGGAAUAGGACAUCAUAGAGGGUGAGAAUCCCGUAUUUGACCUUUACUUUCAACUUUGUGAUACACUUUCAAAGAGUCGGAUUGUUUGGGAAUGCAGUCCAAAAUGGGUGGUAAAUUUCAUCUAAAGCUAAAUAUUGGCGAGAGACCGAUAGCGAACAAGUACCGUGAGGGAAAGAUGAAAAGAACUUUGAAAAGAGAGUUAAACAGUACGUGAAAUUGUCAAAAGGGAAGCGUUUGACACCAGUGUUGUUUUUCUGAAAAUCAAUUAAAGAACUGUUUAUGCUAAGUUGUUUAGACUUUAUCAGCUAACUGUUUAGUUUUGAGCUUUUCUUUAAUGCACUUCUCAGUUAACAAGUCAACAUCAAUUUCUUUUGCUGUAAAAAAGCUUGAGGAAGGUGGCUUGAGAUUCGUCUUAAGUGUUUAUAGCCUCUUGCCUAUGCAGUCGGAGAGAUUGAGGUCUGCAGCGUAGAUCCUUCGGGGCUAAAUGCAUUUGUGCUAAGUUAUAGCAUUUUAUAGACAACUUGUUGACUAUGAUUUGUCUUGUAGCUUACUCGCUUAUGUUAUUUUACCUACGCUUAGGAUGUUGAAGACUCUACAGAGAUA